CUUAGCGAUAGCUGGUUUCUCAAAAAAAAGAAUCUUUAGUCCCAACCUAAAGUUAUACAAAAUUUACAUAAAUUUUCCCACUCACUUUAGAGCAAUUCAAAUGAGGUACAGCCCAUUUGAUACAGGAUCCAACCUUUACUAACGGGUAAUAUCUGACUCCACCCCCAAGUAGGCUUAAGAGCAGCCACCUUUUAAAAAGCGUCAAACCUUAACGUAUUAACACCAAUUCACAACCCCCCAUCAACCCCUUUCACCCUACUGAGAACUUCUAUAACAUUAUAGAACCUUUAAUGUUAAAACUAGUAACAAGAGAUACACCCUCUCUAUAAUGCAAACUCAAACCAGCAAGAACCUAUCACUGGUGAUUAACAGAAACAAAGUAGUAACUUUCUCAAGAAAACUCUACUCCCUCAACUGUUAACCUAACACAAGAGCAUCCCAAGAAAGAUUUAAAGAAAAAGAAGGAACUCGGCAAACAUAAAUCUCGCCUGUUUACCAAAAACAUCGCCUCUUGUCACCUAUAAGAGGUCCAGCCUGCCCAGUGACUCUUGUUCAACGGCCGCGGUAUCCUAACCGUGCGAAGGUAGCGUAAUCACUUGUCUUUUAAAUAAAGACUAGUAUGAAAGGCACCACGAAGAUUAAACUGUCUCCUCUCUCCAAUCAGUGAACCUAAUCUCCCCGUGAAAAAGCGGGAAUUUUUAUAUAA
rnacentral:rRNA from 1 species